rnacentral:rRNA from 1 species
AAAUGAAUAGACGGGGGCCCGCACAAGCGGUGGAGCAUGUGGUUUAAUUCGACGCAACGCGCAGAACCUUACCCAGACUUGACAUCCUGAGAAUCUGUUAGAGAUAUUAGAGUGCCUUCGGGAACUCAGAGACAGGUGCUGCAUGGCUGUCGUCAGCUCGUGUCGUGAGAUGUUCGGUUAAGUCCGGCAACGAGCGCAACCCCUAUCUUCAUUUGCCAGCGCGUAAUGGCGGGAACUCUGAAGAGACUGCCUCGGUUAACGGGGAGGAAGGUGGGGAUGACGUCAAGUCCUCAUGGCCCUUAUGUCUGGGGCUACACACGUGCUACAAUGGUAUGUACAACGGGCAGCAAGCGUGCGAGCGCAAGCCAAUCCCUUAAAGCAUAUCCCAGUCCGGAUUGGAGUCUGCAACUCGACUCCAUGAAGUUGGAAUCGCUAGUAAUCGUGGAUCAGCAUGCCACGGUGAAUACGUUCCCGGGCCUUGUACACACCGCCCGU